GUCUUUCCAUCCUGGCUUGAAGUCCAGAUAGUGCUUUCUCGUCCAUGGGAAGGACCCCAGUUUGAGCAGAAUUCUCAACACCGAUGUGUUCUGAUGCUUGAGGCAUUUGAGCAAUCAUUCCUGGGUGCAAAUUGUCAUUUACAGACAUUAAUGGCUUGCUUCCCGAUUCAUGGUUUCCAGCAGCCGCGGCUAAUUGCAUACUUUUCAUCCUCUCUCUUAUUGCAUCAAGAGUGCCACUCGUUA
rnacentral:misc_RNA from 1 species